rnacentral:rRNA from 1 species
UAGGGAAUCUUCCGCAAUGGACGCAAGUCUGACGGAGCAACGCCGCGUGAGUGAAGAAGGAUUUCGGUUCGUAAAACUCUGUUGUUAGAGAAGAACAGCGCAUAGAGUAACUGUUAUGCGUGUGACGGUAUCUAACCAGAAAGCCACGGCUAACUACGUGCCAGCAGCCGCGGUAAUACGUAGGUGGCAAGCGUUGUCCGGAUUUAUUGGGCGUAAAGCGAGCGCAGGCGGUCAAUUAAGUCUGAUGUGAAAGCCCCCGGCUCAACCGGGGAGGGUCAUUGGAAACUGGUUGACUUGAGUGCAGAAGAGGAGAGUGGAAUUCCUAGUGUAGCGGUGAAAUGCGUAGAUAUUAGGAAGAACACCAGUGGCGAAGGCGACUUUCUGGACGAACACUGACGCUGAGGCGCGAAAGCCAGGGGAGCGAACGGG